AUCUAGUGGCUGAUGAGUCCCAAAUAGGACGAAAUGCGCAUCCUGGAU
rnacentral:hammerhead_ribozyme from 1 species